GAAAACUUUUCUAAAAUUUUACGUAACCUUUUCAUUUUUACCCACAACGCAGCUCGUCCUCGUUCUUCCUCAUGUUAACAUCUUUCUUAGGUUAUCAUCGUCCUCAGGUCAUCAUCGUCUGUGAUUUCAAUCGUCAGUUCAUUUGUGGUUUGUGGUUUCCGUAACCGGUUGUCGGUUGUGGUCGCUAUUGCGCUCGUCAUUGCAUCCUCGUUGUGGUGGUUGUUGAGUCCUUUGUUCCGGACAUCAUAGCGUCCUCAGUUGCGAUCGUCGUUGAGUUUUCCAUUGCGGUCACCUCGUCAUCCCAUUGCAUCGUCUCCUACCCUAACAUUUUUCAGGGCCUCCAAGGUGUACUGCUUAUGGGUAUACGACAAAUCAUCAAGAGACAAUAUCAUACAAAGG
rnacentral:sRNA from 1 species